UACGCGGGGGGCGCGCGUUGUUCGGAAUUAUUGGGCGUAAAGGGUGCGUAGGCGGUUUGGUAAGUCUGAUGUGAAAUCUAUGGGCUCAACUCAUAGUCUGCAUCGGAAACUGCCGGGCUUGAGUAUGGGAGAGGUGAGUGGAAUUCCUGGUGUAGCGGUGAAAUGCGUAGAUAUCAGGAGGAACACCUGUGGCGAAAGCGGCUCACUGGACCAUAACUGACGCUGAUGCACGAAAGCUAGGGGAGCAAACAGG
rnacentral:rRNA from 1 species